rnacentral:sRNA from 3 species
ACACGAGAAGGGAGGUGGUCCAGGCUUUGUAUGCACAUAGGACUCGUGAGGUGACUGUCCGCUAGCCGGUCUCGUGGUCCUCACCCCCUGCCGGGUGGCCCUCGGGCACCGGCACCGGCGAGUACCAGGCAGACACCCGACCCCCGGGUGCCGUCGUUAGUCCCGACGGCCCGUCCCGCCCUAUGCGGGGCGGAGCACCCGGGGGUCGCUGCGU